AGAGGGUGCAAACGUUGUUWGGAAUUACUGGGCGUAAAGCGCGUGUAGGCGGCGAUGCAAGUCGGAUGUGAAAGCCCUCGGCUCAACCGGGGAAGUGCACUCGAAACUGCAACGCUAGAGUCUCGGAGAGGAUCGUGGAAUUCUCGGUGUAGAGGUGAAAUUCGUAGAUAUCGAGAGGAACACCGGUGGCGAAGGCGGCGAUCUGGACGAUGACUGACGCUGAGACGCGAAAGCGUGGGGAGCAAACAGGAUUAGAUACCCUGGUAGUCCACGCCGUAAACGAUGGGUGCUAGGUGUCGCGGGCUUUGACCCCUGCGGUGCCGCAGCUAACGCAUUAAGCACCCCGCCUGGGAAGUACGGCC
rnacentral:rRNA from 1 species